UCGACCUGAGCUCAGGCAAGAUUACCCGCUGAACUUUAAGCAUAUCAAUAAGCGGAGGAAAAAGAAACUAACCAGGAUUCCCCUAGUAACGGCGAGUGAACCGGGAA
rnacentral:rRNA from 1 species